rnacentral:rRNA from 1 species
AAUUUUAUUUAAGGUYUGACCUGCCCUAUGAGAAAUUAAAUGGCCGCGGUAUUUUAACCGUGCAAAGGUAGCAUAGUCACUUGUCUYUUAAUUGGAGGCUUGAAUGAAGGGUUGGACGAGAUAUAAACUUUCUUUAUUAUAAUYAGUUGAAUUUGACUUUUGAGUCAAAAGGCUUAAAURUAUUUAUAGGACGAGAAGACCCUAUAGAAUUUUAUAUUUUUAUUUUAAUAAUUUAUUUGUUUAUGAUUAAAUUUUUUUUAUAAAAAUAUUUUGUUGGGGCGAUGGGAAGAUUUUUUUAACUCU